rnacentral:misc_RNA from 1 species
AACCAUAGAAACCUGCGGAGUACCUGCGGAAGGAUCAUUAAAAAAAUGAUGAAUGUCGGAGGGCGUUCAGUUUCUUACUUGUCGCUCUCCGUGUAUUCAACCAACCCGCUCUUGCAUUUGGAUCAACCAAAAAUAAACAAAAAUAUUAUUAUAAUAAAAAUAAACUUUUAACAAUGGAUCU